GGAACGUGCCCAGUAGCGGGGGAUAACUACUCGAAAGAGUGGCUAAUACCGCAUACGCCCUACGGGGGAAAGGGGGGGAUCGCAAGACCUCUCACUAUUGGAGCGGCCGAUAUCGGAUUAGCUAGUUGGUGGGGUAAAGGCUCACCAAGGCAACGAUCCGUAGCUGGUUUGAGAGGACAACCAGCCACACUGGGACUGAGACACGGCCCAGACUCCUACGGGAGGCAGCAGUGGGGAAUUUUGGACAAUGGGGGAAACCCUGAUCCAGCCAUCCCGCGUGUAUGAUGAAGGCCUUCGGGUUGUAAAGUACUUUUGGCAGAGAAAAAAAGGUAUCCCCUAAUACGGGAUACUGCUGACGGUAUCUGCAGAAUAAGCACCGGCUAACUACGUGCCAGCAGCCGCGGUAAUACCUAGGGUGCAAACGUUAAUCGGAAUUACUGGGCGUAAAGCGUGUGUACGCGGUUCUCAAAAAAAGAUGUGAAAUCCCAGGGCUCAACCUUGUAACUGCGUUUUUAACUGCCGAGCUAGAGUAUGUCAGAGGGGGGUAUAAUUCCACUUGUAGCACUGAAAUGCGUAGAUAUGUGGAGGAGUACCGAUGACGAAAGCAGCCCCCUGGAAUAAUACGGACGCUCAUACACGAAAGCGUGGGGAGCAAACAGGAUGAGAUACCCUGUUAGUCCACGCCCUAGACUA
rnacentral:rRNA from 1 species